rnacentral:rRNA from 1 species
AAGCGGCGCACUGGACCACAACUGACGCUGAGGCGCGAAAGCUAGGGGAGCAAACAGGAUUAGAUACCCUGGUAGUCCUAGCCCUAAACGAUGAAUGCUUGGUGUGGUGGGUACCCAAUCCCACCGUGCCGCAGCUAACGCGAUAAGCAUUCCGCCUGGGGAGUACGGUCGCAAGACUGAAACUCAAAGGAAUUGACGGGGGCCCGCACAAGCGGUGGAGCAUGUGGUUCAAUUCGACGCAACGCGAAGAACCUUACCUGGGCUCGAAAUGAAGUGCAUCGGGGUGGAAACAUCCCUUCCCGCAAGGGGCGCUUUAUAGGUGCUGCAUGGCUGUCGUCAGCUCGUGUCGUGAGAUGUUGGGUUAAGUCCCGCAACGAGCGCAACCCUUAUUGCCAGUUGCCAUCAUUCAGUUGGGCACUCUGGCGAGACUGCCGGUGAUAAACCGGAGGAAGGUGGGGAUGACGUCAAGUCCUCAUGGCCUUUAUGUCCAGGGCUACACACGUGCUACAAUGGCCGGUACAAACCGUCGCAAACCCGCAAAGGGGAGCUAAUCGGAAAAAGCCGGCCUCAGUUCGGAUUGGAGUCUGCAACUCGACUCCAUGAAGCUGGAAUCGCUAGUAAUCGCGGAUCAGAACGCCGCGGUGAAUACGUUCCCGGGCCUUGUACACACCGCCCGUCACAUCACGAAAGUGGAUGAUACUAGAAGUCGGUGGGCUAACCCGCAAGGGAGGCAGCCGCCCAAGGUAUGAUUCAUGAUU